UUACGGCUCAGUAACACGUCAAUAAUCUAACCUUAGGCUCAAGAUAACCUCGGGAAACUGAGGAUAAUAUUGAAUAGGGGAUUAAUACUGGAAUGUUUUUUCUCUGAAACGCAAGGUCUAAGGAUGAGUUGGCGGCGGAUUAGGUAGUUGGUGAGGUAAAGGCCCACCAAGCCGAAGAUCCGUAGGGGCCUUGAGAGAGGUAGCCCCGAGAAGGACACUGAGAUACUGGUCCUAGCCCUACGGGGUGCAGCAGGCGCGAAACCUUUGCAAUGCGCGAAAGCGUGACAAGGGAACCCUGAGUGCUUAUGUUUAACAUAGGCUUUUGCCAAGAGUAAACAUCUUGGCGAAUAAGUGGUGGGUAAGACCGGUGCCAGCAGCCGCGGUAACCCCGGCGCCACAAGUGGGAAUCGCAAUUAUUUGGUCUAAAGCGUCCGUAGCCGAUCUGGAAAGUCUUUUGUGAAAUUGUUGUUCUUAAUGCAACAGCGUGCAAAAGAUACUGCCAGACUAGGAACUGGGAGGAGUCAGAGGUAUUCCGAGGGGAGCGGUAAAAUGUUAUAAUCCUCGGAAGACCGCCUGUGGCGAAGGCGUCUGACUAGAACAGCUUCGACGGUGAGGGACGAAAGCCAGGGGAGCAAACCGGAUUAGAUAUCAGGGUUUUCGCUAAUUUUCUUAUUUGUUUGCUAAAGAUUACUGAAUAAGAAGCCACAAUACCGAAAACAUCAACCUGACUAAUUACCCGAGUAGUCCUGGCCGUAAACGCUGCGAGCAAGAUGUUGCACAUUCUUCGUGAAUGUGCAGUGUCGAAGAGAAGUCAUUAAGCUCGCCACCUGGGAAGUAUGGUCGCAAGGCUGAAACUUAAAGGAAUUGGCGGGGGAGCAC
rnacentral:rRNA from 1 species